rnacentral:rRNA from 1 species
GACGUAGGGCGCGAGCGUUGUCCGGAUUUACUGGGCGUAAAGGGCGCGUAGGCGGCCACUGCAAGUCGGUUGUGAAAUCUCCGGGCUUAACCCGGAAAGGUCAAUCGAUACUGCAGGGCUAGAGUGCGGAAGGGGCAACUGGAAUUCUCGGUGUAGCGGUGAAAUGCGUAGAUAUCUGGAGGAACACCGGUGGCGAAGGCGGCAUCCUGGACCGGCAUUGACGCUGAGGCGCGAAAGCCAGGGGAGCAAACGGG